rfam:Dipodomys ordii contig_45329, whole genome shotgun sequence.
GGGAAGGUGGCUCAGUAGUAGAGCGCUUGCCUUGCAUGCAUGAGGCCCUGGGUUCGAUUCCCCAACAACACA